AUUGAACGCUGGCGGCAUGCUUUACACAUGCAAGUCGAACGGUAACAGGGAGCUUGCUCCGCUGACGAGUGGCGAACGGGUGAGUAAUGCAUCGGAACGUACCCAGUCGUGGGGGAUAACGUAGCGAAAGUUACGCUAAUACCGCAUACGUCCUGAGGGAGAAAGCGGGGGACCGUAAGGCCUCGCGCGAUUGGAGCGGCCGAUGUCGGAUUAGCUAGUUGGUGGGGUAAAGGCCUACCAAGGCGACGAUCCGUAGCGGGUCUGAGAGGAUGAUCCGCCACACUGGGACUGAGACACGGCCCAGACUCCUACGGGAGGCAGCAGUGGGGAAUUUUGGACAAUGGGGGCAACCCUGAUCCAGCCAUGCCGCGUGAGUGAAGAAGGCCUUCGGGUUGUAAAGCUCUUUCAGACGGAAAGAAAACGCAUCGGUGAAUACCCGGUGUGGAUGACGGUACCGUAAGAAGAAGCACCGGCUAACUACGUG
rnacentral:rRNA from 1 species